UACGGAGGGUGCAAGCGUUGCUCGGAAUUAUUGGGCGUAAAGAGUGUGUAGGCGGUGCUCUAAGUUCGGUGUGAAAUCUCCUGGCUCAACUGGGAGGGUGCGCCGGAAACUGGAGUGCUUGAGCGUGGGAGAGGAAAGCGGAAUUCCUGGUGUAGCGGUGAAAUGCGUAGAUAUCAGGAGGAACACCUGUGGUGUAGACGGCUUUCUGGACCAUAGCUGACGCUGAGACACGAAAGCGUGGGUAGCAAACAGG
rnacentral:rRNA from 1 species